CAGACAGAAGCCCGCUGGAUUGGGUGUUUAGCUGUUAAUUAAAUUUUUGUGGGAUCGAGGCCCACUUGUCUAG
rnacentral:tRNA from 1 species